UUACUAUUGAAAGAGCUGAGAACAAGUACAGGUCACCUUAUGCUUUGUCACCUAAAAACGCAUACCUGAUGGCUUUAUGAAGGUGGUACGUUAAUAUUAAGUUUACAGAAAGCGAUCGCUAAGUCCGUGACUUAUGUAAAUCACGAUGUACGCAUUCAUGCAAUAAAGGAUGACGCGAAUUUCGGUUUCGAAUCUGUUUUUUGGAUGCGUAGUAGUUUCGUUUGACAUGCGAUCGCGCGUCGACAUCGGACGCUAUGACACACUCGUGCCUUAUGUGCCACCGAAGCCCCGAAGUGGUCUGGCAUAUACCUUCACAUAUAUGCAAUGGCAAGCCCUUCCGUGUGUUCCAAAGACAAUGCCUACGCCUAGCCACAGCAGCUCCCUCAUACAGACUCCGCAAACCAAGAGGCCGUGGAGGCAAAUGCAGGUAAGAGGCAAUAAGCAAUAGCACUGGUAUCGACAUUCAUCUAAUUUCUUUUUAUUUCGUUUAGGCAGCCAGCACACCUCGAACAGCCACCUUGACUGCGGGUGUGUCACCCUAGUCGCCAAGGAAACAUUUGAGGGAAAGUGACAGGCAAUGUGAACAGCCACUCCUCCAUGUAAACAAUACUCUUUCUCUCGGAUGACUCCUACGCCUCACCACGCCAGCACACUUGUGCACAAAGAUGCCGCAGAGGCACGUGCAGGUCAGAGGCAAGAAGCAGUGGCACUGGUGUCGACAUUUACCCAAUUUCUUUUUCUUACACUGAGGCAGCCAGCACACCUCGAACAGCCACCUCGACUGCGGGUGUGUUAGUUCAUCCCUGUUGUACAUAUGCUCAUAAUAAACUUCAGUAAACUUGAACUUCAUAAUAAACUUGAAGGCAAAUGGUACAUUGAUGCAUUGUAUUUUUGAACAUUUAUUGUACACAUACAAUGUAUGUUAUACUUUGCAGUGCUACAGAGCGUAUUUUGAAGCUUCCCCCUAUAUUUUGCACCUUUAAUUACGUAUGUGUUGUGUGGCCCUCAAUGCAGUUCAUGUUGUAGCAGCUGCUUUGUCUGUGUAUCGCACAUUGGCUUAAGCUCGUGAUAACCACAUACUUCUCUCACAUAUACAAAAUAAAGUUCUAUGUAGUCCUCAGUGCUACAACAAAAAAUGAAAGUAAACAAUCCGAUCGUGGAAUUAUGUUUAUUACAG